CAGCUCGUCGUAGUCCCGCAUGCCCCGUAGUCCCCAGCAGCUGCGCGCACGGCACCGUCUGGACAUGAGGCGCGGCGCCCUCCGCACCCGGCCUCGCCUGUCACCUCCGCGGAGGACAUGGGGUUGAUGCGGUCUUCCAGCUGCUCAAAAGGCAACAAAACUGCUCCUCUGAGGUAUUUUGGACUUAGUGGCAGCAUCCUUACAGCUUCGGCCAGAAGUAGACUGAACCCCCUCCUACAGCUGCUGACGAUGCUGAUGCCCCCGCAUAGAUUGUCCUGGUUUCACAAGGCUGCCUCCUGGAGAACGCUGCAGGGGAAUCUGUUGGGAUUCACUUUAAGGCUGCUUCUAAAGUCUCUCCAUUGUAGGGGGAUUUGCUAUGUGCUGUUCAGUGACGUCUUUAAAAGCUCCCUCGGAAUUGUUUAUGAAAUCUCAUAUCAUUCAGACUGUCACAGCAAGAUAUCAAAGGUAUAUAGGAGGCUCGCUCUCUCUCUCUCUCUCUUUCUCUGCCUCCCCGGUAAGCCUGGAAGAGAAAGUGAAGCUGGAAGUGCUGGUCUGGCAGGCAGAGACAAUAGCCACAGGCUGUGCAAACAGUACUGGAGUUCUGUGAGAGCUUUGAGGGGAAGCUUAGAUUUCCUUUCCCCUUAAAUUAAAAAAAUCUGUGCUGAAUUUGUAUAAGGUCAGUGGCUGUUUUUAUUCAUAGUGCUUUGCACUUAUAUAGCCCUGAGCCUCUGAUCUCAGCUCUCUCUGCAAACAUCCCUUUAAUUUAGCUUUGCAACCACCUCCACAUCCCCUCUUAUCCUCAUCCCUGCUUUACAAAUGCCACAAACUCAGCCCACUUCCAUCUCCUGCUCCUUUGCCUUAACCAGAAGGCUAUCCUUUCUGCCCUUGUCAAGGACUUAGGCCCUCUGCAGCACCUCCAUGGGAUAGAUGGGGUAAUAUACUCUCCGAAGGGCAGAAUCUCAUCAUCCAGAUUGGGGUGGUUAACCUCUCUGUCCAUAGAAUGGGAACUCUGAGCUCUGGCUGAGUUCCUUCAGCUUACUCCUUGGGGUUCAGAGGAAACAAAAACAGGUGAAGGCAGAGAAGAAAAGAAACAAACAAGUUCCAAAUGAGCCACCGGCCUCUCUUCCUUCAAGUGGCCUUGGGCAAGCUGCAGUUGGGCUCAGUGUCCUUUGGUUAACCACCAGACAGUGUAUUGAGGUAAUUGUUUAUAGUCUGGCCUAGUGGCCUGCGUUUCUGUCAGGGUGCUCAGAUAGACCAUAGGCAUGGGGCAAUGUUCUGGAGGAGCUAGUGAGGAAGUCAAAUGUAAAAGAGUCCCAUUUAAACCUAACACAUAUAGGCAACCAACUGAAUAUUGACAAAACAUACAAGUGCUUAUGUAGAAAUGCUAGAAGUCUAAAUACUAAGAUGGGUAAACUAGAGUGCCUGGCAUUAAAUGAGGAUAAAUAUUGUGGAAUGAGGAUAAUCAAUGGGAUGUGGUAACACCAGUGUACAAAAUAUAUAGGAAUGACAGAGUAGGAUGUGCUGGUGGCGGAGUGGCACUAUAUGUGAAAGAAACUAUAGAGUCAAAUAAAGUAAAAACCUUAAAUGAAACAAACUGUACCACAGAAUCUCUAUGGAUAGAAAUUCCAUGCUUGAACAAAAACAGUAUAGCAGAAGGAAUAUACUACCAACCACAUCACCAGGAUGAAGGCAGUUAUUGUGAAAUGCUCAGGGAGAUUACAGAGGCUACAAAGGCAGAAAAUGCUUUAAUAAUGGAGGAUUUCAACUCUCCUCAUAUUGACUCGAUACAUGUCACCUCAGAAUGGGAUGCAGGAAUAAAAUUUCUAAACACCA